UACGUAGGGACCAAGCGUUGUUCGGAUUUACUGGGCGUAAAGGGCGCGUAGGCGGCGCGACAAGUCACUUGUGAAAUCUCUGGGCUUAACUCAGAACGGCCAAGUGAAACUGUUGUGCUAGAGUGCGGAAGGGGCAAUCGGAAUUCUCGGUGUAGCGGUGAAAUGCGUAGAUAUCGAGAGGAACACCAGAGGUGAAGACGGGUUGCUGGGCUGACACUGACGCUGAGGAGCGAAAGUGUGGGGAGCGAACAGG
rnacentral:rRNA from 1 species